AUGGGGACGCAUAGCCGCAUCCGCCCAUAUAAGGGGAUAAGGAUCCACCUUUUCACCUACGCCUUCUUCCUCCUUUGCCUAUCCAUCUUCCACGCACUUGAACUCCAGCGCCCAAGUCCACACUUCCCACCUCGACCUUCUCCAGCCAUGUCCGGAGCAGGAGGCAAGUGGAUGGUCUCCUCCGUCACGGAGGGACACAUCAAAAAACUGAGGAAGGCCGGAUACUUGUCUAACGACAUCGCGCACCGGCUUUCCGAAGAGGGGCAGCUCCUUCCCUCCCCAAGGCCCCAUGAGAGGGUAGUGUUCCUUCCCCACUUCCUCCGCGGAUUGGGCUUUCCUCUCCACCCAUUCGUCCGGGGGCUCAUAUUCUACUAUGGCCUGGAUUUCCACGAUCUGGCCCCGAACUUCAUCCUCAACAUCUCGGCGUUUAUCGUCGUGUGCGAGGCUUUCCUCUGCAUCCUCCCCAUUUCGGCCUAUGGCUUAAGACUUUCAAUGUCAAGCCAAAGGUGGUGCGCGGCAACCAGGCGGAGUGCGAAGGCGCCAUGGCGGGCAAGAUGCCCAACGUCCUAUGGCUCGAGGGCUCCUUUGUGGAGACCCUGA
rnacentral:rRNA from 1 species